UGUACACGCUGUGACUAGCAUAUCAAUAAGCGGAGGAAAAGAAACUAACAAGGAUUCCCCUAGUAACGGCGAGUGAAGCGGGAAGAGCUCAAAUUUGAAAUCUUAAAGGGUUUCCCUUUACGAAUUGUAGUUUAAAGAAGUGUUUUCUGUUGAGGUUUUGGUAAAAGUUCUUUGGAAUAGGACAUCAUAGAGGGUGAGAAUCCCGUAUUUGACCUUUACUUUCAACUUUGUGAUACACUUUCAAAGAGUCGGAUUGUUUGGGAAUGCAGUCCAAAAUGGGUGGUAAAUUUCAUCUAAAGCUAAAUAUUGGCGAGAGACCGAUAGCGAACAAGUACCGUGAGGGAAAGAUGAAAAGAACUUUGAAAAGAGAGUUAAACAGUACGUGAAAUUGUCAAAAGGGAAGCGUUUGACACCAGUGUUGUUUUUCUGAAAAUCAAUUAAAGAACUGUUUAUGCUAAGUUGUUUAGACUUUAUCAGCUAACUGUUUAGUUUUGAGCUUUUCUUUAAUGCACUUUUCAGUUAACAAGUCAACAUCAAUUUCUUUUGCUGUAAAAAAGCUUGAGGAAGGUGGCUUGAGAUUCGUCUUAAGUGUUUAUAGCCUCUUGCCUAUGCAGUCGGAGAGAUUGAGGUCUGCAGCGUAGACCCUUCGGGGCUAAAUGCAUUUAUGCUAAGUUAUAGCAUUUUAUAGACAACUUGUUGACUAUGAUUUGUCUUGUAGCUUACUCGCUUAUGUUAUUUUACCUACGCUUAGGAUGUUGAGUCGUAGAGCACGCAG
rnacentral:rRNA from 1 species